GCUUUUAUAUUGUAGGUUUUUGCUCAUGCACCAUGGUUGUCUGAGCAUGCAGCAUGCUUGUCUGCUCAUACCCCAUGGUUUCUGAGCAGGAACCUUCAUUGUCUACUGCU
rnacentral:pre_miRNA from 10 species